rnacentral:rRNA from 1 species
UACGGAGGGUGCAAGCGUUAAUCGGAAUUACUGGGCGUAAAGCGCACGCAGGCGGUCUGCCAAGUCGGAUGUGAAAUCCCCGGGCUUAACCUGGGAACUGCAUCCGAAACUGGCAGGCUAGAGUCUUGUAGAGGGGGGUAGAAUUCCAUGUGUAGCGGUGAAAUGCGUAGAUAUUGGGAAGAACGCCGGUGGCGAAGGCGGCCCCCUGGACAAAGACUGACGCUCAGGUGCGAAAGCGUGGGGAGCAAACAGG